CAAUAGCGUACAUUAAAGUUGUUGCGGUUAAAAAGCUCGUAGUUGGAUUUCUGCUGAGGAUGACCGGUCCGCCCUCCGGGUGAGUAUCUGGCUCAGCCUUGGCAUCUUCCUGAAGAACGUAACUGCACUUGACUGUGUGGUGCGGUAUUUAGGACAUUUACUUUGAGGAAAUUAGAGUGUUUCAAGCAAGCGCACGCCUUGAAUACAUUAGCAUGGAAUAAUAAGAUAGGACCUCGGUUCUAUUUUGUUGGUUUCUAGAGCUGAGGUAAUGAUUGAUAGGGAUAGUUGGGGGCAUUCGUAUUUAACUGUCAGAGGUGAAAUUCUUGGAUUCGUUAAAGACGGACUACUGCGAAAGCAUUUGCCAAGGAUGUUUUCAUUGA
rnacentral:rRNA from 1 species